UGGGGAAUCUUGCGCAAUGGGGGCAACCCUGACGCAGCCAUGCCGCGUGAACGAUGAAGGCCUUAGGGUUGUAAAGUUCUUUUGCCCGUGACGAUGAUGACGGUAACGGGAGAAUAAGCUCCGGCUAACUUCGUGCCAGCAGCCGCGGUAAUACGAAGGGGGCUAGCGUUGUUCGGAAUUACUGGGCGUAAAGCGCGCGCAGGCGGUUUUGUAAGUUGGGGGUGAAAUCCCCGGGCUCAACCCGGGAAUG
rnacentral:rRNA from 1 species